rnacentral:rRNA from 1 species
AUUGAACGCUGGCGGCAGGCCUAACACAUGCAAGUCGAACGGUAACAGGAAGAUGCUUGCUUCUUUGCUGACGAGUGGCGGACGGGUGAGUAAUGUCUGGGAAACUGCCUGAGGGAGGGGGAUAACUACUGGAAACGGUAGCUAAUACCGCAUAACGUCGCAAGACCAAAGAGGUGGACCUUCGGGCCUCUUGCCAUCGGAUGGGCCCAGAUGGGAUUAGCUAGUAGGUGGGGUAACGGCUCACCUAGGCGACGAUCCCUAGCUGGUCUGAGAGGAUGACCAGCCACACUGGAACUGAGACACGGUCCAGACUCCUACGGGAGGCAGCAGUGGGGAAUAUUGCACAAUGGGCGAAAGCCUGAUGCAGCCAUGCCGCGUGUAUGAAGAAGGCCUUCGGGUUGUAAAGUACUUUAAGCGGGGAGGAAGGGAGUAAAGUUAAUACCUUUGCUCAUUGACGUUACCCGCAGAAGAAGCACCGGCUAACUCCGUG